rnacentral:rRNA from 1 species
UACAGAGGUCCCGAGCGUUGUUCGGAUUCAUUGGGCGUAAAGGGUGCGUAGGUGGCGCCGUAAGUCGGGUGUGAAAUCUCGGGGCUUAACUCCGAAACUGCAUUCGAUACUGCCGUGCUUGAGGACUGGAGAGGAGACUGGAAUUUACGGUGUAGCGGUGAAAUGCGUAGAUAUCGUAAGGAAGACCAGUGGCGAAGGCGGGUCUCUGGACAGUUCCUGACGCUGAGGCACGAAGGUCAGGGGAGCAAACGGG